UACGGAGAGUGCAAGCAUUAAUCGGAAUUAUUGGGCGUAAAGGGCGCGUAGGCGGGAGCGAAAGUCAGAUGUGAAAUUCCGAAGCUCAACUUCGGAGCUGCAUUUGAAACUGUGUUUCUAGAGGAUUGACGGAGAAAACGGAAUUCCACGUGUAGCGGUGAAAUGCGUAGAUAUGUGGAAGAACACCUGUGGCGAAAGCGGUUUUCUAGUUUAUACCUGACGCUGAGGCGCGAGAGCAAGGGGAGCAAACAGG
rnacentral:rRNA from 1 species